UGAAACACUGCGGGGAAGGCUGCCGUCCAAAACAGUGUAACUUUUCUACAGCUCAUAAUGAUUUUUGUUGCUUGCUUUGAAAAAGAAAAAUACACUGAAGUGAAAAUAUUCCAAAGGAUGAUAUUUGUUCUGGUGUCUAAAGAAAGAAAGGAUAUAUUGCUUAAUUUCUGUCCUGUGGGCUGGGAGAACCAGGAAGUGGAGAAAUGGUAUAUAUAUGUCUGUAUAUAAAAGAUUUUCUCGAAUCUGCCUCUUCAAAGUUUCUUUUCAAAGUGUUGGAUGGAAGGAAUGGUGCUUUGCAGAAAAUAAGGUGUUCUGGUGUUAUGACUGGAGUGGAGCGACAGAGCUGGCAGUUGUCUGCUGUUGAAAGUGGACAGUGAAACAACUGUGGCAAAAGAUGGAGGAGAAUGAGGCGGUAACACCUUUGGAGAGAGUGUCUGUUGCUCCUGGAGUGAUCCAGUGGACCUGCGCUUCAAGAACUCCGCUCAGAAACGCGGUUCAGAAAAUAGGUGGAAAGCUAUGUGGGUCACGUCCGUAACCUGAUGGAGGAACGGGAUGCCAUCACCACCGAAUAUGAAAAAGAAAAUGAACAGCUCAGGCUUGAGCUGACGCGGCUGCAGCUGCAGCAGGAAGCCCAGCUGAAGGAGGUGGAGGAGAUGCUGGAACAGGAAAGCUUGUUUGAAAUAGCUCACAGUAAUGCCAGCGAACAGAUUGCUUAUUUACUGGUAGAAAGAACAGCUCUGCUGGAGAAACUGGAGAUGGCAGAUCAGAAGUUGAAUUCACCCAGCUGCACGGACCGGCUGCGUGUGGCACAGCUUCAGGAUGAGUUUGAUCACAUUCAUCAGACAUUAGAAGAUGAACAACAGCACGAAUCCAUGGAGCUUACUGGAGAGGCACUCAAUAAGUCCUACAGGGAAGAGCUGGAGAGGGAACAAGUGUCACGUGCACAAAUUGAACAAGAGCUGGAUGAGGCUACACAAAGGCUGCUGGUGGCCCAGGAAGAGAUCCAGAGGUUGACAGACGAGCUGGAUGCACAAAGAAAGGAGCAGAACAAAAUCCGUAAGGGCUUCUCUUGUGACUGCGUGCUGCUCCUAAUUACUGGCCUGUAUUUAGCCCACCCUGGUUAGUGUAAGCCUUGGGCUUCUCACCCAGGGAGGAGUUGGAGGCAGGCUGUCCUGUGUCCUCUCUGUCACGUGGAAAAAUCGGUGUCAGAUGUUAGCCUGGUACCUAGGAGAUGGGAACGCAGUCAUUAACAGUCACAAAUCAAUUCUUUCUGAGUGGGGAAGGCUGAGACGUGGGGUUAUCUGACCCGUGAUUACAGCAGCAGGUUCCUGCCUGGCUUCCUCUCCCUGGCUUAUAUACAGGGAGAAGAAAUUCAUGCCCUGGGAGGGGAUGGAGAGGAAAUGAUGACUUGGUCCAGAAGCAGAGUAGCUCAGUAGCCAGUGUUAGCCCAUCUGGAGACUCCUCACUAGGUCUUCAGCUGCUGUGUUUGGGGUGCUGCCUCCUUAGGAGCUGUUAGCUGGUGCUCAUAACCUCAGCUUAGCAGCAGCCUCGAGUGGCUGGUUAGAUUCUCCUCACUGCUCAUAUUUGCUUAACCUCCUUAUUAAAAGAAUUGUUGUUGACCAACCCUUAAGUAUUACAUUUUUUAAAAAAUACUGACUGUAAAAAUAAACAGUUUUCUGGAGGGAAAUCAAACUACUUGAUAAAGCUCCUGUUGGAGUGGUCGCUGAAGCCAGGUGUUUCACUGCUACCUCCUCCAGGAGAUUUUCCAAGCAAAACACUGGUUGUGGGAUGCAUUUUCUCUGGGUUACUUACAUUGUUCCAAAACCUGUGGUACAGAAUUUCAGUGGAGAACAACAAAAUGUGAUGAGAUAACACAUUCCUGCCCCGUGUGCCUUUGCAGAGACCGACUUAAGGAGACUGGUACCACCCGGGUAGGGUUUAUGUGUGAAUCACAGGUCCUGAUGCUCACCUUGCAGCUCACACGCAACGCUCAGGCCUCGCUAAACCUUCUGGCCAGCCUCCAAACCCAUCGUUUACAGCCUUUUAAUCAAAGGCAGGGAAAUGAGCACUCUGCGGGCAUCUGCUUUGUGUAUUGAUUGAUACACGUGAGUCCUGGGGAUGGAGUGAGCGUGAUGUUGCAGCCUCCAAACCCUACUGCUCCUCCAGAUCACGGACGGGCUGCAGCGUGUGACUCCUCUCGGUGGAUCGUAGCCUGCGUGGGGCAAUCUGUGUUUUGUAAUCUUCUUAAGUAUCGAAUGAAUAUAAGGCUUUCCAAACUGUGAGUAAGGGUUUAAUGCUUGUUAUGGCUGUGUGGUUUAUUAUGCCGUGAGUAUUAGUAUGCAAAAUUAGUGUUACAACACCUUAGUGGCUUUCCUGAUGAUGGAUGCCUGCAUGCCUUUUCCUCCUGAUGCACUUCAGAGCCAGCUGCUCUGUAAAUAAAUUGAUUUUGUAAUACAAACCUAAAAUGAAAUCUCUGAUCUUUAGUAAAACUCCACUUAAACAGUGUGUUUUGGUUCAAUGAUAACUUGCAGCUGCUUGCUUGCAUUGAAGGGGAAAUCAGGAUUGCUUCUGGCCAGUUUGUAGCCCAGUUAUUGAGUUUUUGGUGAUUAGAGAUUUUAAAUUGUGUGUCUAGCUGUCUGCUGCUUUAUUUUUUUUUUUUCUUGAGUUUUCCUUCAACUCUGUGUUUGAUAAAGUGCAUUAAAAAUGUGGCAGAGUUCAGUGUUCGGAAGCACACAAAUGGUCUGCCACAGCAAAACUG
rnacentral:lncRNA from 1 species